AAGAAAGAAAGGCUCUUCCCGCCAUCUUGGCUCCUGUGGAGGCCUGCUGGGAACGGGACUUCUAAAGGGAACUAUGUCUGGAAGGCUGUGGUCCAAGGCCAUUUUUGCCGGCUAUAAGCGGGGUCUCGGGAACCAAAGGGAGCACACAGCUCUUCUUAAAAUUGAAGGUGUUUAUGCCCGAGAUGAAACAGAAUUCUAUUUGGGCAAGAGAUGCGCUUAUGUAUACAAAGCAAAGAACAACACAGUGACUCCAGGCGGCAAACCAAAUAAAACCAGAGUCAUCUGGGGAAAGGUAACUCGGGCCCAUGGAAACAGUGGCAUGGUUCGUGCCAAAUUCCGAAGCAAUCUUCCUGCUAAGGCCAUCGGACACAGAAUCCGAGUGAUGCUGUACCCCUCAAGGAUUUAAACUAACGAAAAAUCAAUAAAUAAACGUGGAUCUGUGCUCUUAUAUUUUUGUUAAGUGGAUUAAAGAACUUACUACCUUAAAAAAAAAAAAAAA